UUGCUGUUGUUGGGGGAGGUGUUACAUCAUCAAUUGCAAAAGUUGUUGUUUGGGCAACAGCUGUUAUUGUUUGGACAGCAAUUGUUGUUGCUGUUGUUGUUGUUGUUUGGGCAACAGUUGUGGUUGUUUGGGCAACAGUUGUUGUUGUUGUGGUUUGGGCAACAGUUGUUGUUGUGGUUGGUUGGGCAACAGUUGUUGUUGUGGUUGUUUGGGCAACAGUUGUUGUUGUGGUUGUUUGGGCAACAGUUGUUGUUGUUGUUUGGGCAACAGUUGUUGUUGUUGUUGUUGCUUGGGCAACAGUUGUUGUUGUUGUGGUUGUUUGGGCAACAGUUGUUGUUGUUGUGGUUGUUUGGGCAACAGUUGUUGUUGUUGUUUGGGCAACAGUUGUUGUUGUUGUUGUUUGGGCAACAGUUGUUGUUGUUGUUGUUGUUGUUGUUGUUGUUGUUUGGGCAACAGUUGUUGUUGUGUGGGCAGCAGUUUUUGUUUGAACAGGACUCUGUUGGUCUUGGUUCACUUGUUGUUGGUUCAGCAGUCAUUGUUGUCAAUUCAGCAACUGUCGUUGUGGCUUCGGGUGUUGUUGUUGUAGGUUCAGCAGUUGUUGUUGAGGGUUCAGCAGGUGUUGUUGUGGGUUCAGCAAUUGUUGUUGUUGGUUCAGCAAUUGUCGUUGUGGGUUCAGCAAUUGUCGUUGUGGGUUCAACCGUUGUUGUGGCCUCAGCAGUUGUUGUUGUGGUUUCAGCUGUUGUUCUUGGUUCACUAGUUGUUGUUGAUUCAGCGGCCGUUGUCGAUUCAGCUGUUGUUGUUGUGGGUUCAGCUGUUGUUGCUGUAGUUUCAGCAGUUGUAAUUGUGGGUUCAGCUGUUGUUGUUGUGGGUUCAGCAGAUGUUGUUAUGGCUUCAGCGGUUGUUGUUGUGGCCUCAGCCGUGGUUGUUGUUGUGGCCUCAGCCGUGGUUGUUGUGAGUUCAGCAGUUGUUGUUGUGAGUUCAGCAGUUGUUGUUGUUGGCUCAGCUGUUGUGGCCUCAGCCGUGGUUGUUGGUUCACUAGUUGUUGUUGGUUUAGCGGUCGUUGUCGGUUCAGCCGUGGUUGUUGUGUGUUCAGCAGUUGUUGUUGUGGGUUCAGCAGUUGUUGUUUUGGGUUCAGCAGUUGUAAUUGUGGGUUCAGCAGUUGUCGUUGUGGGUUCAGCAGUAGUUGUUGUAGGUUCAGCUGUUGUUAUUUUGGGUUCAGCUGUUGUUUUUGUGGGUUCAGCAGUUGUUGUUGUGGGUUCAGCAGUUGUUGUUGUGGGUUCAGCAGUUGUUGUUGUGGGUUCAGCUGUUGUAGUUGGUUCAGUAGUUGUUGUGGGUUCAGCAGCUGUUGUUGUUGUGGGUUCAGCUGUUGUGGUUGGUUCAAUAGUUGUAGUUGGUUCAGUAGUUGUUGUGGGUUCAGCAGCUGUUGUUGUUGUGGGUUCAACUGUUGUCGUUGGUUCAAUAGUUGUUGUGGGUUCAGUUGUUGUUGUUGUGGGUUCAGCAGCUGUUGUUGUUGUGGGUUCAGCAGUUGUUGUUGGUUCAGUAGUUGUUGUGGGUUCAGAUGUUAUUGUCGUGGGUUCAGCAGCUGUUGUUGUUGUGGGUUCAGCCGUGGUUGUUGUGGGUUGA
rnacentral:lncRNA from 1 species